rnacentral:rRNA from 1 species
UACGGAGGAUCCGAGCGUUAUCCGGAUUUAUUGGGUUUAAAGGGUGCGUAGGCGGCCUAUCAAGUCAGAGGUGAAAGACGGUAGCUUAACUAUCGCAGUGCCUUUGAAACUGGUGGGCUUGAAUGUACUUGAGGUGGGCGGAAUGUGACAAGUAGCGGUGAAAUGCAUAGAUAUGUCACAGAACCCCGAUUGCGAAGGCAGCUCACUAAGGUAUGAUUGACGCUGAUGCACGAAAGCGUGGAGAUCAAACAGG